rnacentral:rRNA from 1 species
CCGGCUAACUACGUGCCAGCAGCCGCGGUAAUACGUAGGGUGCAAGCGUUAUCCGGAAUUAUUGGGCGUAAAGAGCUCGUAGGCGGUCCGUCGCGUCUGGUGUGAAAGUCCAUCGCUUAACGGUGGAUCUGCGCCGGGUACGGGCGGACUGGAGUGCGGUAGGGGAGACUGGAAUUCCCGGUGUAACGGUGGAAUGUGUAGAUAUCGGGAAGAACACCAAUGGCGAAGGCAGGUCUCUGGGCCGUCACUGACGCUGAGGAGCGAAAGCGUGGGGAGCGAACAGGAUUAGAUACCCUGGUAGUCCACGCCCUAAACGAUGUCAACUGGUUGUUGGGUCUUCACUGACUCAGUAACGAAGCUAACGCGUGAAGUUGACCGCCUGGGGAGUACGGCCGC